rnacentral:rRNA from 1 species
CCUACGGGCGGCAGCAGUGAGGAAUAUUGGUCAAUGGCCGGAAGGCUGAACCAGCCAUGCCGCGUGAAGGUCAGUGCCCUAUGGGCGUUAAACUUCUGUUGUGCGGGAGCAAUAAUGGUCACGUGUGGCCAGACGAGAGUACCGUACGCAUAAGCAUCGGCUAACUCCGUGCAAGCAGCCGCGGCAAUACGGGGGAUGCAAGCGUUAUCGGGAUUUAUUGGGUUUAAAGGGUGCGUAGGCUGUGAGGUAAGUCAGCGGUGAAAUGCCCCCGCUCAACGGGGUGAAGUGCCAUUGAUACUGCCUUGCUGGAAUGCGGAUGCCGUGGGAGGAAUGUGUGGUGUAGCGGUGAAAUGCAUAGAUAUCACACAGAACACCGAUUGCGAAGGCAUCUCACGAAUCCGCGAUUGACGCUGAUGCACGAAAGCGUGGGUAUCAAACAGGAUUAGAUACCCGUGUAGUC